GAGUUUGAUCGUGGCUCAGAUUGAACGCUGGCGGCAUGCCUUACACAUGCAAGUCGAACGGCAGCAUGAUCUAGCUUGCUAGAUUGAUGGCGAGUGGCGAACGGGUGAGUAAUACAAUCGGAACGUGCCCUGUAGUGGGGGAUAACUAGUCGAAAGAUUAGCUAAUACCGCAUACGACCUGAGGGUGAAAGUGGGGGACCGCAAGGCCUCAUGCUAUAGGAGACGGCCGUAUGUCUGAUUAGCUAGUUGGUGGGUAAAGGUCCCACCAAGGCGACGAUCAGUAGCUGGUCUGAGAGGACGAUCAGCCACACUGGGACUGAGACACGGCCCAG
rnacentral:rRNA from 1 species